rnacentral:lncRNA from 1 species
GGCUGAAAGCAAUGAUCUUGCCAGUCAUCCUUUCACGUAUUCAUUAUGGUCUACAGCUGAGAAGGGCUGUUUGGGGUUUGCUUUGCCUGAUGGUAGCAGAAGAAAACCAAGAGGCCUCUCUACGAAAGCUUGCAGUAAGGAGAAAGUUCUGGAGACUGGGAAGAGCAAUACAAAGAUAUUCAGUUGCUUGGUGAGAGCUGCUCUCUGCUUCCAAGGUGGCACCUUGUUGCUGCAUCCUCCAAUGGGAAGGAACGCUGGGUCCUCACAUGACAGAAGGUGGAAAGAAAUCAGCAAAUGUCUUGUUGUGAAACAACCUGAACAUACAGAUGUCCUAGAAUGGAGGUGAAGAGAGCAUUUAGAAGGACAAUCUAGGAUGUAAUGAAGUUAUUCCAAGAGUUAGCACCUCUGUAUACUCAAGAUCUCUGUCCAGUGAAUCCCUUGCCAUUCUAAUGACAGUUCCAUUUUCAAUGUCUUGAUUUUCUAAAGUAUCUACAAGCAUCUUGAGAUACAUAGAUGAGGUUUGGGAAUUAGUAAGAAGGAUAGGCAGAGAUCUGGGAACCUGAUGUGGGAGGAAAUCUUAUCUGUGACCACCAUUUUGUCAGGAGUCACAGGAUUCUAUAGCUGCAGCAAACCUGGAGCAAACUGGUCCCCACCAAUCUGGGUGAGACAAACCAAUGAUGACUGAAAAUCACAAUAAAAUUGUAAUACUCAAGAU